GGCGCUAUGGCCGAGUGGUUAAGGCGACAGAUUAGAACCAGAAUUUCAUCAUUCCAGUCUCAAUUAUCUGUUCCGGUUUCCGGGCGCAGGUUCAAAUCCUGCUGGCGUCG